CGUGGGCACAUUUGUUGAUAUUCUUUGCUAGUUGACGAGUUAUUAGCCCAGUUCUACAUUAAUAUGGGUAUAGGAGCACAAAACGAGGAGCCAACACUUCAAGCUGUCUUUGAAAAGCCAGAUAGAUGUGAUGGUCCAAGGUCCCUCCCCUGGGAUUGUAUUAUCCAAUGUCUUGAAACAGAGUCUGUACUACAGAGUCUGAGUCUGAACUUACCUCUAUGGACACCACAAUCGAUGGGGACGCAGGGCAGUACCAUUCUGCUCAUCUGAUGAAGGUGCACAUGAAUCAGUAUCACUCAUUAUUUGCAGAAACAGAUACUUGUAUUUUUUAUUUAACUAGGCAAGUCAUUUAAGAACAAAUUCUUAUUUACAAUGAUGUCCUAGGAACAGUGGGUUAACUGCCUUGUUCAGGGGCAGAACAACAGGUGUUUACCUUGUCAGCUCAGGGAUUUGAUUCAACAACCUUCCGGUUACUGGCCCAACGCUCUAACCACUAGACGACAUGCCGCCCCAACUGGGAUGGAUCCCAAGGCAAAUGUGGCUGACCAGUGAACCUCCAGGUGUUCAUCAUUAAUACUGUGACCAAGACUGAUGCAACCCGAAAAAAACAUUCAAGACAGAGUUAAUGAGUACUUGAGGUCACUGAGAACGUCUUGACAUGGCCUGCUCUCCCUUAUGUAAGGAAUUAAGCAUCUUUGCCAUGUUUACUAUCUACUGUGGGCUAUGUUUACUUGUCAGACUGCACAGUAGCUUAAAUAAAUGUGUACAUUCUCAAAUAGUAAACAAAACAAAAAAAAUAAUCAAUAACAUGUUUCAACCAUGGUGUUUUUCUGGUUGAUGGCCAAUAUUAAGUACAGUCAAAUGCAUUUGUGAAUUAAAUCACUUUAUUGUUUAAUUAAUUAAGGCUCCUUUCUCUUUUAUGUGCUGGAGUUAUUUUAAGAAUAAAGUAGGCUAGUGAAGGCAACAAAUUGUUGCUUACUGAA